GUGGGGAAUAUUGGACAAUGGGGGGAACCCUGAUCCAGCCAUGCCGCGUGUGUGAAGAAGGCCUUUUGGUUGUAAAGCACUUUAAGCGAGGAGGAGGCUACCGAGAUUAAUACUCUUGGAUAGUGGACGUUACUCGCAGAAUAAGCACCGGCUAACUCUGUGCCAGCAGCCGCGGUAAUACAGAGGGUGCAAGCGUUAAUCGGAUUUACUGGGCGUAAAGCGCGCGUAGGUGGCCAAUUAAGUCAAAUGUGAAAUCCCCGAGCUUAACUUGGGAAUUGCAUUCGAUACUGGUUGGCUAGAGUAUGGGAGAGGAUGGUAGAAUUCCAGGUGUAGCGGUGAAAUGCGUAGAGAUCUGGAGGAAUACCGAUGGCGAAGGCAGCCAUCUGGCCUAAUACUGACACUGAGGUGCGAAAGCAUGGGGAGCAAACAGAAUUAGAUACCCUUGUAGUCC
rnacentral:rRNA from 1 species